CAACUUCAAUAAGCAAUGAAAAUACUUUGAGACUGCCAGCCUCUUUUGAAAUUCCAAGAUUUCCCAAAAAUCUGCAACUAAAACUGGACAACAAAGAACCGUGCCAUAAAAAUCCAAGGGACAGACACACAAUAAUCAGAGUUCUAUAUGAAGCUGUGGCACAGUAUACUAUGUAUCCCACAAAUUCUGAAUAUGUGCAAGCUGUGAAGACGCUGGUAAUGAAGUAUCCUUUCCUCAAGGAUCGUGAGGGAAAUGGUUAUGGACCAUGCGUCCAAGGAGAGGAUUUAUUAUCCAUAGACGCCCACUUAAAGGUCUUACAGUGCCAAUAUCAGAAGAUGCAACCAGAUACCAUGGUGGUUCAUAACCGUAUGCAGCAAACGUUUGCUUAGCGGCAAAAAGAAAUUGCAGAUGGUAUGCCUGUGGAGGAUGUGUUGAAGAAGUACCCCUUCUUAGGGAUGCCUACUGGUCUGUGCAACGAACUCGGGUGGAUCCAACCAACAACGGGUAAUGUAAGCCAGCGAUUUCGUGAAGGGCUCUCAUGUGUUGCAGCAAAGGUGAUUGACCUUACACGAGGAAAACCCCACUCU